rnacentral:sRNA from 1 species
AAUUUUCCGCAAUGGGGAAUUUUUCGCAAUGGGCGCAAGCCCUGACGGAGCCAAGACCGCGUGCGGGGAGGACGGCCUUAUUGGUUGUAAACCGCUUUUGAUAGGGAAGAAGUUCUGACGGUACCUAUCGAAUCAGCAUCGGCUAACUCCGUGCCAGCAGCCGCGGUAAUACGGAGGAUGCAAGCGUUAUCCGGAAUUAUUGGGCGUAAAGCGUCCGUAGGUGGUUGUUCAAGUCUGCUGUUAAAGCGUGCGGCUUAACCGCAUACCAGCAGUGGAAACUGGGCGACUAGAGUGCGGUAGGGGUCAGGGGAAUUCCCAGUGUAGCGGUGAAAUGCGUAGAUAUUGGGAAGAACACCGGUGGCGAAAGCGCCUGACUGGACCUGCACUGACACUGAGGGACGAAAGCUAGGGGAGCGAAAGGGAUUAGAUACCCCUGUAGUCCUAGCCGUAAACGAUGGACACUAGGUGUUGCCCGUAUCGACCCGGGCAGUGCCGUAGCCAACGCGUUAAGUGUCCCGCCUGGGGAGUACGCUCGCAAGAGUGAAACUCAAAGGAAUUGACGGGGGCCCGCACAAGCGGUGGAGUAUGUGGUUUAAUUCGAUGCAACGCGAAGAACCUUACCAGGGCUUGACAUGUCCAGAACCCUCCUGAAAGGGAGGGGUGCCUUCGGGAACUGGAGCACAGGUGGUGCAUGGCUGUCGUCAGCUCGUGUCGUGAGAUGUUGGGUUAAGUCCCGCAACGAGCGCAACCCUCGUUUUUAGUUGCCAUCAUUCAGUUGGGCACUCUAGAGAGACUGCCGGUGACAAACCGGAGGAAGGUGGGGAUGACGUCAAGUCAGCAUGCCCCUUACGUCCUGGGCUACACACGUACUACAAUGCUGCGGACAAAGGGUUGCAAGCUCGCGAGAGCAAGCUAAUCCCAUAAACCGUGGCUCAGUUCAGAUUGCAGGCUGCAACUCGCCUGCAUGAAGGAGGAAUCGCUAGUAAUCGCAGGUCAGCAUACUGCGGUGAAUACGUUCCCGGGCCUUGUACACACCGCCCGUCACACCAUGGGAGUUGGCCACGCCCGAAGUCGUUACUCCAACCCUCGGGAGGAGGACGCCGAAGGCAGGGCUGAUGACUGGGGUGAAGUCGUAACAAGGUAGCCGUACCGGAAGGUGUGGCUGGAUCACCUCCUUUAAGGGAGACCUACCCACUCUAGAGUCGAACGCACAGUGCAAAUAGGUUCAGAGUUGGUCAUCCCAAGGUCGUUCGGAUUACAGAUGUGGCUUCCAAACUGUUUGGUUCGGUUUAUGGGCUAUUAGCUCAGGUGGUUAGAGCGCACCCCUGAUAAGGGUGAGGUCCCUGGUUCGAGUCCAGGAUGGCCCACCUUUAUAUAUUGACAAGGGGGUUUAGCUCAGUUGGUAGAGCGCCUGCUUUGCAAGCAGGAUGUCAGCGGUUCGAGUCCGCUAACCUCCACUGGGCGACAUCGAUACUAAGCAACAUUGAUACCAAGCGACAUCGAGUUGUAAUGAUUCGCUAGUCAGCUAGUCAAACGGUCAGCGAGUUAAACAACGAGUUAAGCCACUGGUUAAACCAACUCAGUAAUUCAGCAACUCAUCUUGCACUUCGUAUUGAAGACAAGCAAGAGAGCCUGCUGGAUUAUGUCCAGCCAGAACCUUGAAAACUGCAUAGAAAAUUGUCAGGUAGCAGACAGCUAAAGUUGACGGAAGAGUAACAGCUUGCCGUCAGUGAAAGUUGUCACUAUCACAGACACCAAUGUAAGCAAGACAAAAGCGAAA